rnacentral:rRNA from 1 species
AUUGAACGCUAGCGGCAUGCCUUACACAUGCAAGUCGAGCGAGCGGCGGACGGGUGAGUAAUGUAUGGGGACUGCCCGAUAGAGGGGGAUUACUACUGGAAACGGUAGCUAAUACCGCAUCCUAUCGGAUAACCCAUAUGGGAUUAGCUAGUGGGGGAGGUAAUGGCUCACCAAGGCGACGAUCCCUACCUGGUCUGAGAGGAUGAUCAGCAAAACUGGGACUGAGACACGGUCCAGACUCCUACGGAGGCAGCAGUGGGGAAUAUUGCACAAUGGGCGCAAGCCUGAUGCAGCCAUGCCGCGUGUGUGAAGAAGGCCGUAGGGUUGUAAAGUACUUUCAGUCGGGAGGCGUUACCGACAGAAGAAGCACCGGCUAACUCCGUGCCAGCAGCCGCGGUAAUAC